CCUACGGGGGGCAGCAGUAGGGAAUAUUGCUCAAUGGGGGAAACCCUGAAGCAGCAACGCCGCGUGGGGGAUGAAGGUUUUCGGAUUGUAAACUCCUUUUGUUAGAGAAGAUAAUGACGGUAUCUGACGAAUAAGCACCGGCUAACUACGUGCCAGCAGCCGCGGUAAUACGGAGGGUGCAAGCGUUACUCGGAUUCACUGGGCGUAAAGGGCGCGUAGGCGGGAUAGCAAGUCAGAUGUGAAAUCCUGUGGCUUAACCAUAGAACUGCAUUUGAAACUGUUAUUCUAGAGUAUGGGAGAGGUAGGUGGAAUUCGUGGUGUAGGGGUAAAAUGCGUAGAUAUCAAGAGGAAUACUCAUUGCGAAGGCGACCUGCUAGAACAUAACUGACGCUGAGGCGCGAAAGCGUGGGGAGCAAACAGGAUUAGAUACCCUUGUAGUC
rnacentral:rRNA from 1 species